rnacentral:rRNA from 1 species
GCUGACGAUGCUUACACAUGCAAGUCAACUUGAACUUCGGUUUGGGUGGCGGACGGGUGAGUAACGCGUAAAGAACUUGCCUCACAGCUAGGGACAACAUUUGGAAACGAAUGCUAAUACCUGAUAUUAUUAUUUUAUGGCAUCAUAGGAUAAUGAAAGCUAUAAGCGCUGCGAGAGAGCUUUGCGUCCCAUUAGCUAGUUGGAGAGGUAACGGCUCACCAAGGCGAUGAUGGGUAGCCGGCCUGAGAGGGUGAACGGCCACAAGGGGACUGAGACACGGCCCUUACUCCUACGGGAGGCAGCAGUGGGGAAUUUUGGACAAUGGGGGGAACCCUGAUCCAGCCAUGCCGCGUGUAUGAAGAAGGCCUUCGGGUUGUAAAGUACUUUUGUCAGGGAAGAAAAGCACGGUGUUAAUACCAUUGUGUGAUGACGGUACCUGAAGAAUAAACACCGGCUAACUACGUGCCAGCAGCCGCGGUAAU